rnacentral:rRNA from 1 species
UACGAAGGGGGCUAGCGUUGUUCGGAAUUACUGGGCGUAAAGCGCGCGCAGGCGGUUCUUCAAGUCAGGGGUGAAAGCCCAGAGCUCAACUCUGGAAUUGCCUUUGAAACUGUAGAACUUGAGUACGAGAGAGGUGAGUGGAAUUCCCAGUGUAGAGGUGAAAUUCGUAGAUAUUAGGAGGAACACCGGUGGCGAAGGCGGCCAUCUGGCUGGUUAUUGACGCUGUUGCACGAAAGCGUGGGGAGCAAACAGG